GGGGGUGUAGCGCAGUUGGUAGCGCGUCUCAUUUGCAUUGAGAAGGUCCAGGGUUCAAUUCCCUGCGUCUCCA
rnacentral:tRNA from 2 species